rnacentral:rRNA from 1 species
AGAGUUUGAUCCUGGCUCAGAACGUACGCUGGCGGCACGCCUAAUACAUGCAAGUCGAACGAAGUAGCAAUACUUAGUGGCAGACGGGUGAGUAACAUGUAGGUAUCUACCCUUUGGCCUGGAAUAACACGAGGAAACUUGUGCUAAUACCGGAUAAGUCUUUACGGAGAAAGCUUUAUGCACCAUUGGAUGAGCCUGCACUUGAUUAGUUUGUUGGUGGGGUAAUGGCCUACCAAGACAAUGAUCAAUAGCUGAUUUGAGAGGAUGAUCAGCCACAUUGGGACUGAGACACGGCCCAAACUCCUACGGGAGGCAGCAGUAGGGAAUCUUGCACAAUGGAGGAAACUCUGAUGCAGCGAUGCCGCGUGAGUGAAGAAGGCCUUUGGGUUGUAAAGCUCUUUCGUCGGGGAAGAAAAUGACUGUACCCGAAUAAGAAGGUCCGGCUAACUUCGUGCCAGCAGCCGCGGUAAUACGAAGGGACCUAGCGUAGUUCGGAAUUACUGGGCUUAAAGAGUUCGUAGGUGGUUAAAAAAGUUGGUGGUGAAAUCCCAGAGCUUAACUCUGGAACUGCCAUCAAAACUUUUUAGCUAGAGUAUGAUAGAGGAAAGCGGAAUUUCUAGUGUAGAGGUGAAAUUCGUAGAUAUUAGAAAGAAUACCAAUUGCGAAGGCAGCUUUCUGGAUCAUUACUGACACUGAGGAACGAAAGCAUGGGUAGCGAAGAGGAUUAGAUACCCUCGUAGUCCAUGCCGUAAACGAUGUGUGUUAGACGUUGGAAAUUUAUUUUCAGUGUCGCAGCGAAAGCGAUAAACACACCGCCUGGGGAGUACGACCGCAAGGUUAAAACUCAAAGGAAUUGACGGGGACCCGCACAAGCGGUGGAGCAUGUGGUUUAAUUCGAUGCAACGCGAAGAACCUUACCUGGUCUUGACAUACACGGAACUUUCCAGAGAUGGAUUGGUGCCUUCGGGAACCGUGAUACAGGUGCUGCAUGGCUGUCGUCAGCUCGUGUCGUGAGAUGUUGGGUUAAGUCCCGUAACGAGCGCAACCCCUAUCCUUAUUUGCCAGCACAUCAUGGUGGGAACUAUAAGGAGACUGCCGGUGAUAAACCGGAGGAAGGCGGGGACGACGUCAAGUCAUCAUGGCCCUUACGACCAGGGCUACACACGUGCUACAAUGGGAAGAACAAAGAGUUGCGAAGCCGCGAGGUGUAGCUAAUCUCACAAAUCUUUUCGUAGUCCGGAUCGGAGUCUGCAACUCGACUCCGUGAAGUCGGAAUCGCUAGUAAUCGUAGAUCAGAACGCUACGGUGAAUACGUUCCCGGGUCUUGUACACACCGCCCGUCAUACCAUGGGAGUGGGUUGCACCAGAAGUAGCUAGUCUAACUGUUUACAGAGGACGGUUACCACGGUGUGAUUCAUGACUGGGGUAAAGUCGUAACAAGGUAACC